rnacentral:rRNA from 1 species
CCCUUAGAUGUUCUGGGCCGCACGCGCGCUACACUGAUGCAUUCAACGAGUCUAAAACCUGCUCUGAUAGGGGUGGGUAAUCUUUUGAAUGUGCAUCGUGAUUGGGAUAGAUGAUUGCAAUUUUUCAUCUUCAACGAGGAAUGCCUAGUAAACGCAAGUCAUCAGCUUGCAUUGAUUACGUCCCUGCCCUUUGUACACACCGCCCGUCGCUCCUACCGAUUGAAUGAUCCGAUGAAUAUCAUGGAUUGAGGAUGCAAGUGGGUUCGCCUAUCUUCAUCUUCGAGAAGUGAAGUAAAUCUUAUCAUUUAGAGGAAGGAGAAGUCGUAACA